rnacentral:misc_RNA from 1 species
UGAGUUCUAAGUAGACUUCACAUUAUACAAGGCUUGCCAGUUACAAAACAAUAAAAAUGUCAUGAACUACUUAGUGGAUGAAGUUAAAACAACUGAGCAAGACAUCAUUUUGGAAUAUGACUAAACCAGUGAAAAAUAUACACCAGCAUGGAAAUAUGGAGUUUUCAGAAUCUUUCUAUUUCAAGCCCUAGAAGAAAUUUUUAUUUCCUCUCUUUUAGUGCUUGCUUAUGCAAGUACCAAAUAAUAGCUUGUUUGAAGAUCUGUGCUAAGGUUUUACCAUUGUG